rnacentral:lncRNA from 1 species
AAGAUGUAGAUACAACAGUCAGGAUGUGGAACAGAAGUCCACGGAUAAGCAAGUCAGGAAGGAAUUAGUAUUGGUGUGGGAGGAGAGAUGAAGUCGAGAAGCUCCGUUCUUCUUUAAACUUGCAUUUCUGAGCCAUGUGCCUGGAAAAUACAGCCUGGAACAUUCUGUCUCAUUCUUUAAGAUUGUGAAUUCUGUGAAGACUAGGAUUCAAUCUUAUGAUUUUCACUUUCCAGCACACAACUUGAGAUACAUUGAAUUCUUAUUAAGAGCAUCAUGGAGCCAGUCUCAAACUCAUCUGACUUGUGUGCUUAAAAUUCCAAUCCCUUGUGAAAUGGCUGAGGAUGUUUAAAAUUGGAAGAAGCUUCAGUAGUAUGGCCUUCCAUGACCUCUUUUUCUGCCUCAUCUGACAUCUGUCGGAAUGAUGAUGUGAGGCUGGAGAGAGGAACAAGGUGGAGAACAUCUCACAGCAACAAAGUUAUUUUGCUGGGCAUAGUUUUUGUAUAUGUGUGUGUAUUUUGUGAAAGUCUCUAAUUUUAAUAAAAACACUAAAAAUUGCUUAGUUCAAAACUGAAAGGCAAGGCAUAAUAUUACAUGUUUCUUUAUCUCUUUUGUUUUGUAAGUGCCAAUAAAUAGAGAGAUUCAGAGUUAUAAAUGGUGCAGUUGUUUGUGGGAGGGAAGAUAUUGGUUUAUAUGUUUAUAUUUGUAACAAGGAAUGUAAAAUUAUUUGUUUAUGUUUUUGAGGAAAAUUAGUCCUGAGCUAACAUCCUUUGCCAAUCCUCCCCUCUUUGCAGAGGAAGAUUGGCCCUGAGCUAACAUCUGUGCCCAUCUUCCUCUACUUUAUAUGUGGGACGCCUGCCACAGCAUGGCUUGAUGAGUGGUACGUAGGUCUGUUCCCGGGAUCUGAACCUGCAAACCCAGGCUGCUGAAGAAGCGGAGCACGUGAACUUAACCAUUACUUCACCAGGCCAGGCCUAUAAUACAUUUUCUUAAAAAAAAAUAAACAAACACAUGAGCUAUA